UCCCAGCGAGUCCAGAGGGUGCAUCUUUGUAUCCCUCCAGGCCGCGCUGGUAGGCAGUCUAUAGCUGGCUCUGUCCUCCGGAAGCAGCUUGGGCGCAAUGGAAACUGUUAUAGCUAAGUGUUGGUCAAAUGUUCCUUCCGCAUUCCUGGCAACAUCAGAAAGUUGAGUGAAGAAGAUGAUUAUUGGUAGAGGGGAGUAAUAUGGGUGUGACAAAGGUUGUGCUUGGUUGUC
rnacentral:rRNA from 1 species